AGCUGAUGGAGAGAAAAAGAAUUGAAAACUUUACUUGAUUACAAAGAAGAGUUUAAACUGAAAGUGAAGCCACUGACUAGAGGGAAGUUGACAAAUGAAGUGUUCAAGUCAAAAAAUUAGAGACUCAGUAUUUCCGAACCUUUCUCCUAAUAAAAGCAGGAAGAGAGAAGGCAUUAGUGGAAUAUAAGAAAGAGAUUGAGCUACUACAAGAAAAGAUAUCAAAAACUGUAUAUAGUGCACAACUGCUGAGUCAAAUGGCAAAUAUUGAGAAGAAGGAUCAGUGUACACAAUCACCAACAGCAGACUAUGAUUCUAUUUACACAGGACGUAUUGACUAUUAUGGGAUAUAU